ensembl:lncRNA
GUUCCGUUUCCUGCUUCAGUAGACAUUCUUUCAUCUGCAGAAUCACUUAGGUGCUAAGUUACUGAAAUCGAAACUAUUUUCACGCAUAGAAAAAUAUUAUGACAUGGUAGUCCAGGGAAGAUGCAGUUUACACUCAACAGUGAUGGUGGAUCACUUCCUGGAUAGCACAAGGGUCUGGAAGGGCUGUCCUUGCUCCUGGAGUUACCUCUCCCAUCAGACAGCCCCUCACUGGGACACCCACGGCCACUGACAUGGCAUAUAAAAGCAGGUAUUUCUUUUCUGGCCUGCACCUGGCCUUAGUUUGUGUUACGUUAGCCUACAUUAACUCUUCUAGAGCUCUUUGCUUACAGAGUUUCCCCCAAGUUCUAACAAAAACCUGCACUGGAUGUGUGGAGAUGUGUGGAGAGGGAGCAGUAUGGAGUGCUAGCAAUGAAACAGUGGGGGUGCCUGAGACAGGUUAAAAGUAAGAAGGUUCAGCAGUACCAAGAACUCCCUGGAAGAAGUCCUUAGGUAUAAUCAAUCAUGCUUGAAGUACUACUAAUUGCUUACAAGGUGAGGGACACAGGAAGAUUGAGUUCUCUUUUCUUCCUGCCUGCCUGUAUGUCACUUAUGGCACAGGCUAGACCUGCAUUUGGGCCACACUGAACUUUCAGCUUUGUGGGGCUGGUGAGUGAAGUUGAUAAGAUAAGCUCUUGUGUUAUAAAAGGACUUUUGCCUUUGUGGUAAGGCAGUAAAAGAGGAACGGGAGAGGUAAUUAGUAGGACUUGCAGCUUGUCCACAUCAUGCCGAGAAAAAAAACAGACUGGGAAAUCAUCAAGCUAUCAGAGGUGAGGCCAUACACAGCAGCACGUGCAGGGUGUGAGUGGUAGAGCUACGUACCCAAAGCCCCAUCUGCACUGCGCACGUUUGUCUGCUCUGCUGCGUGGUCCCUACUGCUGUCAGCACACCCACAGGGCCCCGAGGUCUCCAGCACAGCCUGGGACCUCCAGGGAUUUAAUUCUCUGAAACUGAACCGGGCAUUCUUUGGUACCUUCCACGUUUUCAACGACCUCAUCAAUUGGGAGGCCCAAAACUGGACAGCAGGAUUGCACACAGCAUCAUGCACUGGGAGAUAAUCAUAGAAUUACAGAAUGGUUUGGCUUGGAAUGGAUCCCAAAGCCCACCCAGCUCAAAGCCGACCCAGGGCUGCCACCCACCAGCUCAGGCUGCCCAGGGUCCCAUCCAACCUGGCCCUGUAUGCUUCCAGGGAGGGGGCAUCCACAGCUUCUCUGGGCAGCAGUGCCAGCACCUCACCGCCCUCUGAGUAAACAAUUUCUUUCUACCAUCUAACCUGAAUCUUCCCUCUUUUAGCUAAAAGCCACUCCACCUUGACCUAUCACUAUCAGACUGUGUAAAAAGCUGGUCCCCCUCCUGUUUAUAAGCUCCCUUCAAGUACUGGAAUGCCACGAUGAAGUGUCCUUGGGGCCUUCUCUUCUCCAGACUGAACAAGCCCAGCUCCUUCAGCCUGUCUUUGUAGGAGAGAGAGGUGUUCCAGCCCUCUCAUCAUCUUCAUGGCCUCCUCUGGACCUGCUCUAAUAGCUCUAUGUCUUUCUUGUGCUGGGGCCCCAGACCUGGAUGCAGUGCUCCAGAUGGGACCUUACAAGGGCAGAGUAGACGGGGACAGUGAUCUCUCUUACCCUGCUGGCCCCCUCCUCUUUUGAUGCAGCCCCCUGAUUUGUUGGCCACCUGCUUCCUGACAUAGGCCAGCCUGUGCUAUGCCCUGUUUGCAACAAGAACGCUGUUCAUCCAUCUUCAGCUUGGCAUCCACAGUAAGCACUAUCCAUAUAGCAGGGCUGCUGUAUGGUUUCCAGCCUCUGUUGUACACUCUUGUAUAAGCAGCUUUCCUGUAAUAAGUUAAUAAUAAUAACAGUAAUUUGUAUUCAUUAAAUUGUUAAAUAAGUCGAGCAUCUAAGAAAUAAAUAUUAGACAGAAAUAACUUGUGCAAGUUAAACGCCCUGUGUAUUUUUUCUGUUUGCUCUGGGAGACUUCAGAGGAAGAGGCUACGAUAGAGCAAUAAAAACUAUUUUAGUACUUACAUAUCAACGACUGUAACAGUUAAACGUUAUAAAAUGCAUUUGGGCUCCAGAAGGCAUUCUUUCAGGCACGGUCUUUGCAGGAAAUCGCCUGUUCACAGGGAAGGGGAGGACCUCAGAAGAGCACAAGGCGGGAUUUCAGUGCUGGAGCCGAAGG